UAUAUGUGUAUCCUACAGAAAAUGCAGUAUUAAUGCUAAAAAGUGAUUUGUCCUGCAUCAUCACUAUGUUGUAUUCGUUUAAAAAAACGGCGCCAAGAAAGAAAGGACAUGCGCAUUGUUCUCCUGAGCCAGUUAACGUAGAGCUGGUACAUUGCUGUCUUCACUGGAGUGCUGCAAGCUCGAAGUGUGGCUGCAGCACUUCUCGCUCGUAACGUGAAACUUAAAAACACGCCAAGGAGUGGAUGCAAGUGAACUAUCAAUCUACUGAAACAGAAGCGGGAAAUGUAUUCGAAGACGAAAAUGCUCGCGCGACCUGUGCGUCAGACCCGGAUAAACGCACGCGAGCUGACAAAAUCCUGAGUAGCUGUUAUUCAACAUAAACACAUUUCCGCACACAUGAAGAUGGAUGACGAUAGUUCAUCUUAAAAUGAAACUUAUGUUUAUCAGCUUACCCCCAGGCCAUCCAAGAGAUGCUCUUAAGAACAACGCCCUGAUGUCCAAGGUCAACCAGCAAGAAGCUGAGAAGGCACUGCCAAAAUGGUUUACUGGGGCAAGGGACAGAGGAGGACAGAGAGCAUCAAGAAUGCAGAAAAGGAUGUCUGUUUGAGAAAGGUUAAAACUACAGUUGUUGAUUUGAACUGUUGUAGUUCUUUAAUUUUUCUUAAAGGAAAACACAAUCAUUUUUCAAUAUUUACCAUGUUCUUCCCUCAACUUAGAUGAAUUAAUACAAACCUCUCUUUUCUCAAUGUGUGCACUUAAAGGUGGGGUGCACAAUUUCUAAAAAAAAAACGUUUUGGAAAAGGGAGACAGGCCGACUAUCAAAACACACUUGUAGCCAAUUAGCAGCAUGUCUACUAAAUGACAUCGUUGCCUGGGUUGCGUAUGUGUGGGGCGGGUCUAUCAAAAGAAGGUCCAGAUUCUAUUAGGGUAAGGGUGUGUUUGUUUAGAUGAUUUCAAAUAUCAACAUUGGCUUUCAUGCACCCUGCCUUUAUUUGUUGUAAAGUGUGGCGUGAAUGUGUUAGCAUUUAGCCAAGCACCAUUCAUUCAUUAGGAUCCAAACAGGGAUGAAUUUAAUAGCCACCAAACACUUCCAUGUUUUCCCUAUUCAAAGACUGUUACAUGAGUAGUUACACGAGGAAGUAUGGUAAAAAAUAUAACUAUAUUGUAUGGCGGAAGAGCACUUAGUUUGUAGCACUCGACCUUGGGCACAGUAACAUCAUCACUCCUGACUACUCCCCCUCUUGCUUAAACUACAGUCAACAUAACCAACACGCCUGUACUAAUGUUAGUACAUUGAGCAGACUCUGCGAAAUAUCAAGUUAAGUUUAAGUGUACGCAUUGAGAAAAGAGAGAUAUGUAUUUAUUCGGCUAAGUUGAUGGAAGAACAUAGUAAAAUAUUGAAAAACUGUGUUUGUAAUUAUCUUACUUUCAUUUACUUUUAAGGGCCCCAUUUCAAUAAUUUUUUAAAGGGGCCAUGGCAUGAAAAUCUGACUUUUUCCAUGUUUAAGUACUACAAUUGGGUCCCCAGUGCUUCUAUCAACCUAGAAAAUGUGAAAAAGAUCAACCCAGUAACUUCCAUUCUCUGCAAGCAUGUGAAAAAAUAGGUAGUUGAAAUUUGGCUCUCCUUAUGAUGUCAGAAGGAGCUCUUAUUAUAAUAAUACCACACCUUAAUCUGCACUAUCCAACCACAGCACUGCCAUUUAGUGCAGAGAGGGAGAGACAGAGAAAAAAAUUCACAGCACAAUUAAGUUUCAAUUUCAACAAACCACCAUCAUUGUUAUCAGUGUUUGAAUUUCAUCAGCUCAUUUGCAUUUUAAAGUAGGGAUGCACCGAAAUGAAAAUUCUUGGCCAAAACCGAAAAAAGGAAACCAAGGCCGAAAAACCGAAACACCGAAAGAAAUUAUUAUGCCAAUUAUAAGUACAAUUGCAUUUAUGGCUAUCACUGUGUACUAACUUUACUAGGGGUGUGUGAUGGAUAAAAAAAACCUCACAGUUCGGAUCACAUUACAGUUUUUGAGGCACAGAUCAGAUUAUUUUUCGGAUCAGCAAAAAGCAGGUGGGAAAAAAUCUAAUAAACAAUAAAGAAAUUGCAAACAUUUACAAAAAAGAACAAAGUUGUACAUUAAUAAGGUCUGAAAUUAGCAUUAGGUACAGAAAUCAAAUUAAAUGAAUCAUAACACAAUAAAUUAAAUGUAUUAUUAUUUUUAGAGCUAUUUGUCUCUUUGUCAUGGGUUGUUUGAUUAACAUUAAUGACACAGACUUAAGUAGGUUAAUCUGACUGUAAUCUAUACAUACACUUAAGACAUAAACAAAUGUUUUUAUUAGAAAAAGAAUACUGUGGAGAUAAUUUUGUUUAUAUGUGCCCUGUCAAUAACAGAGAGAUUUUAUGUUUGCUUGUUUUUUUUUUUUAAACGCGUUUCUCUCGUAUGUGCACUAUUAAACGCGCGCGCACACAUAGAGAACGAGGGUGGAUCCCAAACAGCGCAACAGUCGCUCCACAUAAAAACGUUACGUUGUGUUUCGUUGCUUUAUUCGCCGAAUGUAUGUUAAUGGAUUACAGUAUGAGACAUAUUAGCGCGACUCUCUCUAAAGUUUACACAUCAAGACAUGCUUAAUCUUUGCAGACGCGUGCAAACAGCUCGACCGUGAGUGAAACCUGCUUGAGCACGAAGGGGAGGGGUGGGAGACGACUGAUCACCGUGAGUGAAACCUAAGCGCUAGUGCACGGAUGGGAGGGGCGCAGUUAACAUUCAUUUUCGGUUGACUUUUUCGGCUGGAUUUUUUAUUUCGGCCGAAACAGAUAAUGCCAUUUUCGACCGAAAAUUUCGGCGACCGAAAUUUCGGUGCACCCCUAUUUUAAAGGACACACCCAAAACAGCACAUUUUUGCACACACCUACAAAGUCGCUAUUUUAACAUGCUAUAAUAAAUUAUUUAUAUGGUAUUUUGAGCUAAAACUUCACAUUUGUGCUCUGGGGACACCAAAGAUUUAUUUGACAUCUUAAAAAGGUCUUGUGAAAUGGCCCCUUUA